rnacentral:pre_miRNA from 17 species
AGGAUAAAGAAAUGGAUGUUGGUGACAGUCCAUUAUUACUUUUGGUACGCGCUGUGACACUUCAAACUCGUACCGUGAGUAAUAAUGCACAGUGGCUGACACUUUCGCCGCAGAUUCAU